AGUGAACGCUGGCGGCAGGCCUAACACAUGCAAGUCGAGCGGCAGCGCGGUGAGAGCUUUCUCGGCGGGCGGGCGACGGGCGAGGAAUUCGUCGGUAUCUGCCUAUCUGCGGUGGAGAACGGAGGGAAACAUGCGCUCAUACCGCAUUCCCCCUACCGGCCUACGGGGGAGAGCGCAAGACCUUCCGCCGUUAGAUGAGUCGACGACCGAUUAGCUGGUUGGUGGGGUAAAGGCCUACCAAGGCGACGAUCGGAAGAUGCUCUGAGAGGAUGAUCAGCCACACUGGGACUGAGACACGGCCCAGACUCCUACGGGAGGCAGCAGUGGGGAAUAUGGGACAAUGGGCGCAAGCCUGAUCCAGCCAUGCCGCGUGUGUGAAGAAGGCCUUCGGGUUGUAAAGCACUUUUGUCCGGAAAGAAAUCCCUGGAGCUAAUACCUUCGGGGGAUGACGGUACCGGAAGAAUAAGCACCGGCUAACUUCGUG
rnacentral:rRNA from 1 species